UACGUAGGGAGCAAGCGUUGUUCGGAUUUACUGGGCGUAAAGGGCGCGUAGGCGGCAAUUCAAGUCAGCUGUGAAAUCUCCGGGCUUAACUCGGAACGGUCAGCUGAUACUGCUUUGCUAGAGUGCGGAAGGGGCAAUCGGAAUUCUCGGUGUAGCGGUGAAAUGCGUAGAUAUCGAGAGGAACACCUGAGGUGAAGACGGGUUGCUGGGCCGACACUGACGGCUGACAGCGCGAAAGCCAGGGGAGCAAACGG
rnacentral:rRNA from 1 species